CGGCACAGGCUGCCUGACUCACAGACAGUGAGCGAUCAUGCGAAAGAUGACAGAGAGAAGUGCGAGAAUUACAGAGAAAGAAGUCAGAUAAGAGUGAGUAAUACAGCGGGAGAAGGCAGAUAAGACAGCGGGAGAAGAGUGAGAAAGACAGCGGGAGAAGAGUGAGAGACAGCGGGAGAAGAGUGAGAGACAGCGGGAGAAGAGUGAGAAAGACAGCGGGAGAAGAGUGAGAAAGACAGCGGAAGAAGAGUGUAAUACAGCAGGAGAAGAGUGAGAAAGACAGCGGGAGAAGAGUUAGAAAGACAGCGGGAGAAGAGUGAGUAAUGCAGCGGGAGAAGAGUGAGUAAUACAGCGGGGUAAGAGUGAGAAAGACAGCGGGAGAAGAGUGAGAAAGACAGCGGGAGAAGAGUGAGAAAGACAGCGGGAGAAGAGUGAGAAAGACAGCAGGAGAAGAGUCAGUAAGACAGUGGGAGAAGAGUCAGUAAUACAGCGGGAUAAGAGUGAGAAAGACAGCGGGAGAACAGUGAGAAAGACAGCGGGAGAACAGUGAGAAAUACAGCGAGACAGACCGAGUGAGCCGGAGACAAAAAAAUAAAUACACAUGGCGCUCUCUAAGAAGAGAAAAGUGGACCGCGAAAACAGCUUUCAACCCAGAAUGGACAGACUCAUUCAUGUUCAUUCUUCCCACUGGCAACACAAAAUCAGGUUGUCUCAUAUGCUCAGAGACAGUGGCACUCAUAAAAAGUGCCAACGUGAAACGUGAUAUGAGACAAAGCACAACGGUUUUCAACAAACGUACCCACUCAAGUCUGAACUGCGGUCACAGAAAAGAAGCAGUCUCAGAACCCAAUAUGAACAAUCCAACCGGAUCCUAACCGAUUCAUUCACUGCCCAACAACGUGCUAAUGAAUGUUCCCUCCGAGUAUUUUGGGUCAAGACAAAAAGCCAUUUACUGAUGGAGGGGUUGUCAAGUUAUGCAUGAGUGCAGUAGCUGAAACCUUACUUGAGGGGAAAGAGAAAGAAGAACUCUGUGACAAAAUAAAGCAAAUACCCAUGUCAGCAUCAUCAGCCACAAAGAAAAGUGAAAUGUUAACCCAGGACGUGCUAGCCCAGCUGGAUGAAGCCAUUCAUAAGACUUGCGUUCCGGGGCCCUUAACCUGAUGAGCUUAGUGCGUUGCGGUGGAGAUGUAAUCAAACUCUCAUCAGACACAUUUUACCUUUAGCCUUGUAGGCAUAUUUAUUGUAUCGACAGGCGGGAGUAACGCAGCUGUGCUGCCACUCUCCUCGGCAUCGUCACAUGUAAUAACUUAGACACCGGAACAGGUAGUGUAGGUGUCAGGUAACACAGAGGUAAAGUCAACACUGCCAUCUAAAGGACAUAAUGGAAUCUGUGCAACAAGAAAUCCUGUCAGCCAGGUACUUUGCCACAACUUCUGACCUGUGCUCAAGCCGUACUUCAGAGGCAUACAUUAGCUUGACCAUUAAUUUCAUAGACCAAGAAUGGAAUCUAAAAACAAGAUGCCUCGAAACAGCAUAUUUCCCUGACGAUCACACAGGAGAAAAUAUAGAAGAAGGCUUGAAGGAGGCACUGUUGACCUGGUCUCUAAUUGAAGACAAAAUGGUGUGCAUCACCACAGACAGUGGGGCAAAUGUAGUGAAGGCAACUUCACUGAACGACUGGACCCGGCUACAGUGUUCUGGCCAUCGUUUGCACUCUGCUAUUGG
ensembl:lncRNA